rnacentral:rRNA from 1 species
AGUGAACGCUGGCGGUAGGCCUAACACAUGCAAGUCGAACGGCAGCACAGGAGAGCUUGCUCUCUGGGUGGCGAGUGGCGGACGGGUGAGGAAUACAUCGGAAUCUACUUUUUCGUGGGGGAUAACGUAGGGAAACUUACGCUACUACCGCAUACGCCCUACCGGUGAAAGCAGGGGACCUUCGGACCUUGCGCGAUUGAAUGAGCCGAUGUCGGAUUAGCUAGUUGGCGGGGUAAAGGCCCACCCAGGCGACGAUCCGUAGCUGGUCUGAGAGGAUGAUCAGCCACACUGGAACUGAGACACGGUCCAGACUCCUACGGGAGGCAGCAGUGGGGAAUAUUGGACAAUGGGCGCAAGCCUGAUCCAGCCAUACCGCGUGGGUGAAGAAGGCCUUCGGGUUGUAAAGCCCUUUUGUUGGGAAAGAAAUCCAGCUGGUUAAUACCCGGUUGGGAUGACGGUACCCAAAGAAUAAGCACCGGCUAACUUCGUGCCAGCAGCCGCAGUAACAC